UACGUAGGGUGCGAGCGUUGUCCGGAAUUAUUGGGCGUAAAGAGCUCGUAGGCGGCUUGUCGCGUCGGAUGUGAAAGCCCGGGGCUUAACCCCGGGUCUGCAUUCGAUACGGGCAGGCUAGAGUUCGGUAGGGGAGAUCGGAAUUCCUGGUGUAGCGGUGAAAUGCGCAGAUAUCAGGAGGAACACCGGUGGCGAAGGCGGAUCUCUGGGCCGAUACUGACGCUGAGGUGCGAAAGCGUGGGGAGCAAACAGG
rnacentral:rRNA from 1 species